GCAAAAGUUAAUUACUUCAAUACCCUCAUAACCACACUCUCCCGCGAACCCAAACGACUAUUUCACACAUUUAACUCUCUUCUUCGCCCUGCUGUUCCUCCUCCACCUACUAAUUUGACCGCCUCAGAUUUUGCAACUCACUUCACUGACAAUAUCUCUACAAUCAGAGAAGAGAUCUCUCAUCUUUCUUCUUCCCCUAACUUCACUCCCUCUGCUGUUCUAUGUUCAUUCGCACCUGCUACAUUGGAAGAGGUUUCUGCUCUGCCCCAGUCCUCCCGCCCCACCACCUGCUCCCUAGAUCCAAUUCCCUCGCAUCUCAUCCGUACUCUGUCUUCUUCUUUCUCCACCUCUCACUAAAAUUCUCAAUCUCUCUCUCGCUCCUCUGGUAUAUAUUUCCAUUGCCCUUCAAACAUGCAACUGUAACCCCAAUUCUAAAAAAGCCCAAUCUUGACCCUAACUCCCCAUCCAACUAUCGUCCUAUCUCGCUACUGCCUUUUGCAUCCAAGCUCCUUGAAAAAAUUGUGUAUGCGAGAUUGACAGACUUCCUCGAGUCCAACUCUAUGCUACACCCGCUUCAGUCUGGUUUCAGGGCUAAGCACUCUGUGGAAACGGCACUGACCAAAGUAUCCAAUGAUCUACUCGCUGCAAAAUCUCGUGGUCACUACUGUAUCCUAAUUCUCCUUGACCUGUCUGCGGCUUUUGACACUGUUGAUCAUCAACCGCUUCUUCUCAUCCUCCGCAAUAACGGUCUACAAGAUAUUGCUCUCUCCUGGUGCUCCUCCUACCUCUCCCAGCGCUCUUUCAGUGUUUCUUUCUCUGGCUCUGCUUCUUCUCCCCAACUCCUCUCUGUUGGUGUCCCUCAAGGUUCAGUCCUUGGUCCCCUACUGUUCUCCAUCUAUACUACCUUCCUUGGUAAACUCAGUAGCUCCUUUGGCUUCCAAUAUCAUUUCUAUGCAGAUGACACGCAAGAUGUCCUCUCCUGAUCUCUCCCCGUCCCUCUUGACUAGUGUCUCUGACUGCCUCUUUGCUGUUUCUAACUAGAUGGCUGCCCACUUCCUUAAACUAAACUUGACCAAAACUGAAAUUCUGGGCUUUCCUCCCUCAAGUGUUCUUACUCCUGUGUCGGUCUCCCUCCAAGUCAACGGUGCUACCAUCCGCUCCACCACGCAGGCUCGCUGCCUAGGUGUUCUCUUUGACUCCGACCUCUCCUUCAAGCCUCAUGUUCAAUCUAUCGCCAAAUCCUGUCAUUUCUAUCUCAAAAACAUUGCGUGCAUCCGCCCCUACUUAACGCCAGAUGCGACUAAGGUGUUGGUCCAUUCCACUGUCCUUUCUUGCCUUGACUACUGUAAUCCGCUUCUCAGUGGUCUAACGUGCUCCCAACUUGCGCCGUUACAGUCCAUAAUAAAUGCAGCAGCAAGAUUCAUCUUCCUGUCCGCCUGCACCUCCCAUGCCUCACCCUUCUGUCAG